rnacentral:lncRNA from 10 species
GACAAUGCCAGCAGCUAAGGGAGCCGCGCUGAUCUCAGGCUACAGGAAAGGUUUCUGCUACGCUCCCUUCCAGGGCUGAGAUCUCAGAGGCUUCAACAGCUCACUUUCCCCGACGUUGCUGCAAUAAUCAUUGGCUAGAGGUAUUGUGAUAUGUCAUUAAAGUUAAUCUAGACAAA